AUACGGAGGGUGCAAGCGUUAAUCGGAAUUACUGGGCGUAAAGCGUACGUAGGCGGUCCGUUAAGUUAGAUGUGAAAGCCCCGGGCUUAACCUGGGAACUGCAUUUAAAACUGGCGGACUAGAGUUGAGUAGAGGGGAGUGGAAUUUCAGGUGUAGCGGUGAAAUGCGUAGAGAUCUGAAGGAACACCAGUGGCGAAGGCGACUCCCUGGACUCGAACUGACGCUGAGGUACGAAAGCGUGGGUAGCAAACGGGAUUAGAUACCCCGGUAGUCC
rnacentral:rRNA from 1 species